rnacentral:rRNA from 1 species
AUGGUAUUACCGGAAAAGGAGAAUAUCCAGGAGAAGGUGCUCCAACUCAAUUGUGCCAAGCUGAUUGGUUUGCUUAGGAGAGCAUUGCUGACGAAGCAAGCCCUAACAGGACUUUAUUUCAAUGUUGCUAUCCCGCCGAAUGCUACAGACAUGUGUGUGCUCCCUGAAAGUAUGUUGUCAAAACAGGCACUUGAGACCGAUCCCAAGUUCAAAGCCAUUAAGGUAAGGCUUGUUCAUGCAAAGGAUGAUUCAUUGCUAUAUGCUGAUGUUGGGCAAGACUUUGUUGAUCUUGUCUUUGGACUUCUUACCACUCCAGUCGGAGCCGUACUGAAGACUUUCAGCAAGUUACCCCAAACCGGAUGUAUUGAAAAUAUAUACAAGAUAGUAUAG